rnacentral:rRNA from 1 species
UACGAAGGGGGCUAGCGUUGUUCGGAAUCACUGGGCGUAAAGCGCAUGCAGGCGGAUUGUUAAGUCGGGGGUGAAAUCCCGAGGCUCCAACCUCGGAACUGCCUUGCGAUACUGGCAAUCUUGAGUCCGGGAGAGGUGAGUGGAACUGCGAGUGUAGAGGUGAAAUGCGUAGAUAUCGGAAGGAACAUCAGUGGCGAAAGCGACUUCCGUGGACCAAUACUGACGCUCAUGUGCGAAAGCGUGGGGAGCAAACAGG